GUAGGUGAACCUGCGGAAGGAUCAUUACAGAGUUCAUGCCCUUCGGGGUAGAUCUCCCACCCUUGUGUAUCAUUAUAGAAUGUUGCUUUGGCGGGCCGCGCCUCGUGCGCCUAGAUUCGCGUCUAGCGUGCCCGCCAGAGGACCCCUAAACUCUGAAUGUUAGUGUCGUCUGAGUACUAUUAAAUAGUUAAAACUUUCAACAACGGAUCUCUUGGUUCUG
rnacentral:misc_RNA from 1 species